rnacentral:rRNA from 1 species
UACGAAGGGGGCUAGCGUUGUUCGGAAUUACUGGGCGUAAAGCGAACGUAGGCGGUGUUCCAUGUCAGAGGUGAAAGCCUGGGGCUCAACUCCAGAAUUGCCUUUGAAAACGGGGACGCUUGAGUCCGAGAGAGGGUGGCGGAAUUCCUAGUGUAGAGGUGAAAAUUCGUAGAUAUUAGGAAGAACACCAGUGGCGAAGGCGGCUCACUGGCCCGGUACUGACGCUGAGGUGCGAAAGCGUGGGGAGCAAACAGG